ACUGAUAUUUUCUACAGACAACCCAAUCAUCAGGGCAACAUAAAGUUUUCAUAAGUUGCUGGAGGCUUACAAAGAAGGAUAAGCAGAACCAGCAAAGACAUUCAGCCUCCUCCAUGGUCAAACAUGGGAUCAAGCCAAAACAGGUAUGCGCAGGGACAAGGGGGAGACUGGAGGAGCAGAGAGAUGGAGUGACAGUACUAGGCAGACAUUUAGAUGCUGUAAAAACACAUCAACAUAGGGAAAGGUUACACAUUCACAUAGGUAGAGGAAAUGUUGCACAGUAAUAAAGGCUGUGGGGCUACCCUAACUUCCUAGUGACAGCCCAGAUCUGCCAGACACUCUACAUGGCCUAAGGCACGUAAUUUAACAGCCUCAUUCUUCCCAGCUGUGUACCUGGAAUAUCCUAACAUAAGGCCCUGGCAUACUGCAAGACUCUGCGCCCAAUGCAGCUGCAAUGCAACUCCCUCAACAUUAGUAUGUACUCCAACUGGGUAAGCACUUGGAAAGAUGCAGCGGUAAUACAGAU
rnacentral:lncRNA from 14 species